UCUCGCUCGCUCUCCUCCCUCGCUCUCCUCCCUCUCUCGCUCGCUCUCCUCCCUCUCUCGCUCGCUCUCCUCCCUCUCUCUAUCUCUCGCUCUCCUCCCUCUCUCUCCUCCCUCUCUCCUCCCUCUCUCUCCUCCCUCUCUCUCUCUCUUUCUCUCCUCCCUCUCUCUCUCUCUCUCCUCCCUCUCUCUCUCUCUCGCUCUCCUCCCUCUCUCUCGCUCUCCUCCCUCUCUCUCUCUCGCUCUCCUCCCUCUCUCUCGCUCUCCUCCCUCUCUCUCUCUCGCUCUCCUCCCUCUCUCUCCCUCGCUCGCUCUCCUCCCUCUCUUGCUCGCUCUCCUCCCUCGCUCGCUCUCCUCCCUCCCUCGCUUGCUCUCCUCCCUCUCUCGCUCGCUCUCCUCCCUCGCUCUCCUCCCUCUCUCUCGCUCGCUCUCCUCCCUCUCUCUCUCGCUCGCUCUCCUCCCUCUCUCUCUCGCUCGCUCUCCUCCCUCUCUCUCUCUCGCUCGCUCUCCUCCCUCUCUCUCUCUCGCUCGCUCUCCUCCCUCUCUCUCUCUCGCUCGCUCUCCUCCCUCUCUCUCUCUCGCUCGCUCUCCUCCCUCUCUCUCUCGCUCGCUCUCCUCCCUCUCUCUCGCUCGCUCUCCUCCCUCUCUCUCUCGCUCGCUCUCCUCCCUCUCUCUCUCGCUCGCUCUCCUCCCUCUCUCUCGCUCGCUCUCCUCCCUCACUCUCCUCCCUCUCUCUCGUUCGCUCUCCUCCCUCUCUCUCGUUCGCUCUCCUCCCUCUCUCUCGUUCGCUCUCCUCCCUCUCCUCCCUCUCUCGCUCUCCUCCCUCUCUUUCAAAUGUAUGAGCCCCUUCUCCCUCCUCGCUCUCUUUCUUCCAUCUCUUCCCCUUCUCUACCCUCUCCCAUAUGUAGAAGGUACACACCCUCAUGCUGUGAUGAAAGAGGGAGAAAUGUAGCCUACCGGAACGUGAGCUUUAGACAUUACCUACAACUGUAUCAUCACACAUUUGAAGUCCUUUACUGCACUUGACAAGCCGGCGUGAGAAACGUAAUGCGGCCACAAUGUGAAGCGAUGGUUUAUUUCACAUGCCAUUUCCUUCGGGUGUGGUAAUGAGAAACAACAUUAACAUUCUGCUGACACGUGUUUCCUC
rnacentral:lncRNA from 1 species